UCUUGACUGGGCUCUGGGCUUGAGGCUUGGCUCGGUUCUUGGCUGGGCUGGGCUCUGGGCUUGAGACUUGGCUCGGUUCUCGGCUGGGCUGGGCUCUGGGCUUGAGACUUGGCUCGGUUCUCGGCUGGGCUGGGCUCUGGGCUUGAGACUGGGCUCGGCUGGGCUCUGGGCUUGGUUCUAGGCUGGGUUCUGGGCUUGAGGCUUGGUUCUAGGCUGGGCUCUGGGCUUGAGGCUUGGUCUCUAGGCUGGGCUCUGGGCUUGGUUCUAGGCUGGGCUCUGGGCUCUAGGCUGGGCUCUGGGCUUGGUUCUAGGCUGGGCUCUGGGCUUGGUUCGAGGCUGGGCUCUGGGCUGGUCUUUAAGCUGGA
ensembl:lncRNA